rfam:Gorilla gorilla gorilla genomic chromosome, chr3, whole genome shotgun sequence
GCUGGGCAUGGUGGCACAUGCCUGUGAUCCCAGCUACUCUGGAGGCUGAGGCAGGAGGAUCACUUGAGCCCUGGAGACUGAGGCUACAGUAAGCUGUGUUCAUGCUACUGCACUUUAGCCUGGGCGACAGAGUGAAACCCUGUCUCAA